UACGGGGGGGGCAAGCGUUGUUCGGAAUUACUGGGCGUAAAGGGCUCGUAGGCGGCCAACUAAGUCAGACGUGAAAUCCCUCGGCUUAACCGGGGAACUGCGUCUGAUACUGGAUGGCUUGAGGUUGGGAGAGGGAUGCGGAAUUCCAGGUGUAGCGGUGAAAUGCGUAGAUAUCUGGAGGAACACCGGUGGCGAAGGCGGCAUCCUGGACCAAUUCUGACGCUGAGGCGCGAAAGCUAGGGGAGCAAACGGG
rnacentral:rRNA from 1 species